rnacentral:rRNA from 1 species
UACGUAGGGGGCAAGCGUUGUCCGGAUUUAUUGGGCGUAAAGAGCUCGUAGGCGGUUGGGCAAGUCACGUGUGAAAUCUCCACGCUCAACGUGGAGGCGCCACGUGAGACUGCCCUGACUCGAGUCCGGUAGGGGAGCGUGGAAUUCCCGGUGUAGCGGUGAAAUGCGCAGAGAUCGGGAGGAACACCCGUAGCGAAGGCGGCGCGUUGGGCCGGUACUGACGCUGAGGAGCGAAAGCGUGGGGAGCAAACAGG